GGGUGUUCUGAAGACCUGCCGACUAGGCUACAAACGAAGAACUUGGAUUCUAUCACAUGCCUAGGGGAAAGUCCCCGGACGAUAGACAGAAAGUGUCCUGCUUCAUUGCAGUGCACGACUAGAAUUCGACGAUCGAGCUAAGAUACUUCUCGGAGUUGAGCUCGAAGCAUUCUAGUCGUGAUUGUCAAUGUAACAGUAAUGCAGGUGUUAAAUUGACACCAACAGAACGGGGCUCAUUCUCAGAAUGCA
ensembl:ribozyme RNase_MRP RNase MRP